AGUGGGAUAGCUGGGUCAAAUGGUGGUUCCAUUCCAAGUUUUCUAAGAAAUCUCUUUACUGCUUUCCAGAGUGGUUGCACCAAUUUGCAGUUCCACCAGCAAU
rnacentral:pre_miRNA from 1 species